AGAGCAAUCUGGGCCUUCAUAGCAAGAAUUACACUCACAAACUGGUUCCUUCCCAUCAAGAACCAACCCAUCCAAAUAGGCUGUUCCAUGGCCUGAGCAAGGAAUGGCUGCCACACGCUCAGCUUCUUCUGCUGCUCUUUUACUCCAAGUAAGUCUCCACUCUCCAUCCACACAGAAUUGGAAAACCAAUAACAGAUUAACAGCUAUAGAAAGUGCCAAGAUCACAAAGUAGGAGGAGCUUUGUGCCUUAGCCAUGUUAAUUAGUUUCUUAUUUCCUUUCCUAGCUCUCUUAACUUAACAUGCAUAUAGAGCCUUAUAUAUCAACAGAAAGAGGACAAAUUUAAUACGUUACCAGACAGCCUUGACAAAUUCAAAAUUGAGAAUUUAUAUUAAUCCAUAGACGUCAAGGAAUUUUUGUAGAAAUUAAUUAACUGGGAAAAAAUUAUAGCACCAUAUCAACCAUAAUUCUUGCACCAUUAUAUGUACUUCCCCGCUACAAAAUACGGUUUAACAUUAUCCGUUGUUUAAAUUGUUGAAGAAUAUUGAAGUUCCAUAUUAAAAACUUGAUCAAAUCAAAAAAUUAUAUAAUAAGUGGUUCCACUAUUAAUGACACUGAAGUCUUUUAUGAUAAAACCCCACACCUGCUAAACCAGGAAAACUUACUUGUAAUUUCCAACAAGGUCCAUCCUUCUAAACUUUAACAUAAAUCCUCGACGACUUUACCUAAGAAGGACAGGUAUGUACCACUGUGCCAAAUAGAGUUUGAUAUCAUCUUUGGUUUGUUUUCCAUUUAAUUUGUUGAUGACUUUGAAAAGUCUUAUCUAUGUUGGUAACCAAGAAAAAUCAUAUGCCUAUCUGUUUUUCGAGGAACCUACUUACUCUUCUUAAGCCAAAGUUAGAAUUAACAAGAAAGUAAUCGGAAAUAUUCAUCGUAUUAAUAUGUGGAAAUCAAACACGAAAAUAAAAAUAUUAAUAUAAUACAUUGGAUUAUAGGGUAGAACAAAAUAUUAUCACGUUGCUGCUGACAAUUGUACUCAAACCUCUGACCAUUCACUUACGUCUGAAUCUGGUAUUUCUAGGAUUCAGAUAUUCAAAUAAGGGGUCCUGCUCUUGAAAUAAUUUCAAUGUCUAUAUCAAAGUGAUUUGAAAUAAUCAGUCGUUUAGACUUUAGAGUCCAAGAAGUACUCUUUUAAAAAUAAAUAAAAAUCUUGUGUACUGCCAAAUUAACCAUAUAAACAAAAUGAAACUUUUUGGUUAUUUGAAAGCAUUUUGAUAUUGCCAGAGCUACUCCCAAAAUAUAAGUAAUCUUAGACUCCAUUUGAAUGGAGGGAUUCCAAAUCUAUUAAUUUAGGUGAUAUUGUAAGGUAAAAUUGUUUAUUUAGACCAAAACAAUUCGUGUAUGCAAAGAUUUGAACAAUAAAGAAAGGAAAACUAUGCCAUGUUUGUUUUCGUCUAUUGGGUCUCUGUGUUCCCAAGCUAGAUCACGUUUAUUAACUCCACUAGACAUCUUAAACGUUCUUACAUUUAUUUUUCAUAGAAAAUUAGGUAAUUAUUUUUUGGCCAAAAAUUAUAGUAGUUACGGUUAUCUAAGAGAACCGAAAUAAUAAAGUUAUUAUACGAAAGAAUUAAAUAGGAAGUAAUUAAUUGUAGGAAUUUCAAUAGUUACGAAAAUAAUACGGAAUAAUAAAACUUAAUAAUGAAUAAUAAUUCAAUUCAAUAAUAAAAUCAUAAAUUAUAUUAAACAUAUUAAAAUUAUCAUAUGAAAUAAUUAUACAAUAUUACUUAAUUACUUCAAAGAAUUAACAUGCAAGUAUUAUUUGGUUCUCACAUCACAAGCACGGAUCCACACAAAAAAUAUUUUUGUAUAAAUUACAAUAAUAUAGAUAUAAGUUUGUGAACUUACCUUAAAUAUGGAACCCUUUAUGUAAGGUCCAAAUAGAAUCUGCAUGGACCAACAAUAAAAAAUAAUUAAACAAAUAUAACAAAAUGCGAUGGAAGUAUAUAAGGUCUUUAAUAAUAAAUUAAGAGACAAUAAACACACAUAUAAGUGAUCAAAUAAAGAAUAGAAAAUUUAAAAAUCACAUGCCAUUGACUAAGUAAUUAAUUGACACAAUUUAAAAUAUAAUACCAUCAAACAUUUGGAAUAGAUAAUAAUAAACAUACAAAUUAAAUAUCAAUAAUGAAUGAAAAUAACUUACUAUAGUUCAGUUUUGGUUUUACUUGUGGGGAAAUUGAGGUGAUAGAUGUUGAAAAUGACAUGAGCAUUAUGUUUUGUUUUGGGAUAAAGAUGUUGAGAAAUAGGGGACGGCAUGGGACUAUUUGAUUUUAUUAUUUGUAUAUAUAGAAAUAGGACUACAACUAAUUAGUUAGGUGAGUGGUUGAAUGGUAGGGUAAGUGAUGAAAGUUGAAACGUGAUGAGUAGUUCGAAAGUUGAAACUUGAAAAGCAAAGGUCAAAGACUCACAUUCUCAUGUGAAAAUAUGAUUCUUCCAAAAAAAAAAAAGUUCAAAACAAAACAAUAUAAAUAUACAUAUUUUAGCAUAUUAUCGCAUAUUUUAGCAUUAGAUGAGUGAAAUGGUAGGGGGGGAAUACCCUUUGUGUGUGUGCUUUGUUUUUUUCUUUUUCUUUUUUCCAUUACAUCGAUAUUUUCUAUAUUAUAGCGAUAUUUUGACAAAAUAUUGCUGAAGUGUGAGCGAAAUUAUUGACAUCAAUAUUUUCCGAUAUUGUUGAUAUUUAUACGAUAUGUAUAUGGAUGUUCUGAAAUAUUCGUGACCCAAAAAAAGAUAAUAUUCUCGAUAUUAUCUAUAUUUCAGACUAUGGGGCACAAUACUGCUUCCACACUACCCAAAGAAUUAAGAGAUAUUUAGUGAUAUACCCAUUCUUAGCACUAAUAUUAUAGAUAAACCAUACACUAUUGAAUUUCUAUAAACAAACCCAAAAAAAACUCAAAAUUUGACAAUUGGCCUUAUUGAAUUUAAUAUUAAUUAUUAAAUUACUUUGAUACCCUAUUGAGUAUUUUGGGUAUUUUUAUGAGAUUUUGGGAUUGGGCUUGUUUUAAGAAAUUAAUGGCAGUUUUGUAAUUUAUAAGAAGUUAAAAGCCUCUUUGUUAUGUUGUAAAUGAACUUUGGGUAUGUUUCUAAAGUCCAUUUCAUAUAGGGUAUUUUUAUAAUUUGGGCCCCCAUAUUGGGUAUAAUAGUGAAUCUCCCAAGAAUUAAUUGAUAAAUUAGAAAAUUUAACCUUAGGAAUAAUUUUCAUAAAAGAAAAAGUAGAAUAAAUCCAUUUGAUAAUAGUAAAUGGAGCUUUUUAGGAGAAAAGGAAAAGAAAUAAUUAGAACAGAGAUAUAUACCCUAGUGACCAAGAAACACAAGAAUUUUUUAGAAAAUGUUUCAAAAAUCCCAAAAAAAAUAAGUAUAAUUUAUAUCAAUUAGGAAGAUUUGAAAAUAAAUAUAGCAUUAUAAGUAGCAUUAGUCAAUGAAGUAAGCUAUAUAGAUAAAGAAGUAACUCUUAAUUUACUUAGUAACAUAGCAAUAGAGCAUCUUAAAAAGUUACACUAUAAACAAAUUCAUGUAUAGGAACAAUUAUAAUAGGAAUAGCUGGACUCAUAAGAGCAUAAGUAGGAACUAAAGCAUUAGUAUACAUAUAUGCUAAUAGAUGGGAUAACCAUUGGCAAGUAGCUAAAGCUAAGGCAGAAGUAGAUCUUAGCACAAAUCUAGCAACAUAGGAUGUAUUCCUAAUUCUGCCAUGAAUAUUAGAGAAUUUAGUAAACGUAUUAAAAUUAGCAUAAGAACGAAAAAUUACAAUAUGAAAGGUGAAUACAAAAAUGUAAGUAUUAGUCUUAUGUAUGUAGGAAAAGUUUCAAACAACUAUAAUUAUAAAUUUAUGUAAAAUUUUAAUAUCUAGUACAAACUUUUGGUAGUAAACAUGUUAAUAUGAUAGAGGCAAAACUAGUAGAUAAUAGCUUUUUAGAAGGAAUUGAAUGGAUUUUACCCAAUUUACAAGUAGCAAAAAAUAGACAACCUAAUAAAGCACAAAUUUUUGAAAAUCAUAUAGGUGAAGCAAUAGUAAGAUUUACUAAUUAUAAACAAAAAAAGGAUAUAGAAGACUUAGAAAGUGAAGUAGAAGAAAUACAUGUCAUUUGAUAACUUAGAAAUAAAUAUGAUUGAGCAUAAUUUUGAUAAUAUAGUUGAUAAACUCAUAGAUGACAUAGAUAAUUUAAAUGAAGAACAAUAUAUAGAAAAAUAUAAGACUUAUGAUUUAGGAUUACAUAGAUUGUCAAUUAAAGAAAUGAAGGACUUAAUUUUAAAUAUAGGAUUAGAACACAUUUUAGGAGAAAAAAAUAUCAAAAUAUGUUAAUUGAAGUAGAAUGCAUGCCAGUAGAAGACCAAUAUAGUUCAACUGAACUAUUUGUAGUCAAUGCAAGUAGAACAAACCAGCAAAAUCUUAGGCAAACUAAUGAACCAUAUAGAGAAAAUAAUGAAGAAACCGGUAGGUAUGUUUUUCAAGAAGAAACAAUUGGACUAAGAAAAAAUUAGAAUCCCUUAUAAAGGAAUUGAACAAAUUCGUUUAGCAGGAAAUAUAUUAAACUUCAAUCAUGUAGACCCACAAGGAGGAUUUUUAUAUACACCUCCAAAUUUUACCUUGGUCAAGAAUUUUUAGCAUAUAAUUAUGAUUAUGAAAUAGAAAAAAAAAAAAAACAACUUUCUUUUUUUGCAGGAAAAAUAUGAAGAGCAAAAGAAAGAGUAUGAUACAAUUGUAAGAAAUUGUAGAAUUAUUAAUUUCAGAUGUCAAAAUUUAAGCAUGAUUUUACAAGAAAAAGAGGUUAACGAGCCCAACUUAUUUGAGCAUAAUAGAGAAUUUUCCCUUGAGCAAAAAACUAAAAAUCCAUAUUUUCUUCAAACCCUAACUAGAGAAAGGUAUAGAUUUUUACCAGGAGAUAUUAAGAGUCAUAUGAUUAGAUUAAAAUAUGAGCAAAAUACAUUUCUUUAGUUAUACAUUCAAGCUUUCCCUUUUUAAUUUUAAAAAAAUAAUCCACAUCCUGGUAUAAAAAUUAUUACUAAAAGCUGUUCUCAUUAUACUAGUUAUUUAGCUAGUAUUAACAUGGUGGAAUAUAGAGAACUGCAUUUAGAGCAUAACCAAAAAAAUAUCACAAUUACUCCAACAUUUUUUACCAAAGUAUGGCUAUUUAGGUCAACUUUAUAUUGAAAAUAGUCCUCAUUUAGAUUCAUUUUCCUUAAAAUUAAAAAAAGUUAUAAGUUUUUGUAUCCCUCUUUGGAAGAACAUAACAUUAGAUUUCACCAAUAUACGCCCAGAGUAGUUUACGGAUAGUAUUUACCCAGACAGAGUAUAACAUAGUAUUAUUGUUUCUCAUAAUGAACUGCUUAGUCCAGUAGAAUUAAAUACGUAGAUCUCUACAACGCAAGACAUUCAAAAAUACAAAGGAGCAACUUUAGUUGAGCAACAAUUCUUCAAUGAUGAUCGUCUGAACCUCCUUCACCAAUCCAACUUUAUCAAGAUUUAUUCAUAGACUAUAUCCAGGAGACCAGAAGACGCAUAUGAAUUCAGGAUAAGCAAAACAAGAGCAAAAGUUUUUUUAUGAAAUCUAUAACCAUAUAGCAUAAUAAAUUGAAGCAGAAGACAACGACAACUCAUACUGGAAUAGCUUAGGAGAAGAAGAGCUACACAACAUAGACAACAUGAUGGAAGCAUAAUGAAGUAAGAACUCCAUGUGAAGGCCUCAUGAUAGAAUAAGCAUCAUCAAAUUCAUUUCACAUGAAGAGAUCAUCCCAGCAACAUAAAAGCGGAUGCAACAUUAGUCGAAAGUUUAUUAAAGCAAGAAAAUUCAAUUUUGUUGGGCUCCAUACGGCUAGCAAGAAGCAAGACUUUUUGGCAAUAUCUGAAAAAUAAAGAAAAGAUGCAAUCUAAAAAUGAAUAAGUGCAUUAUUGUCCAAACACUAGAAUUUUGUCCUUCUUCAUAAAUACUUCCCUCAUUUUGGGCUGAAUCAAGAGUCUCCCAUUAAAAAGCUAAUUGAUACAAGAAAAUCAUAUAUACAUACACCCCAUUUAAGCAAAAAUCACAUUUGCAUCCCCCGGAGGUGCAAAAGAUAUGUAAAUGUGGCUUUACAUCUCCAAUUUACACCCUAAGCAUUGGAGAUGCUCUAAAGAAGCUAGAAUUAUUCAACGGAAAAAGUGAGAAUGGAAACCCAAUGAAAUUAGAGUUUGAGAUUGGUCAAACACAAUGCUCCUCUGGAGUGUAACCAUUAGUACGAUCAAUAAACUAUUCCAUCGUUAGGCAAAAUUGGCAUGGCAUCAAUGACCAGUAAAUCUAUAAUUAAUUCUAACCAUCAACUGUAAUAGAUCUGUUUCUUAAGAAAAGCAAGAUGAGCAUCAAACUACAAUGUAGUUUUGAUAAUUAAUUAUCAGUCGUGUUACAAAGCAUCAGCUCAUCAACUCAGGCUCUAUAGGAAAAACAAUGUGAAUCCAGCCGUUAGUUUCUUUAAAUUAAACUAAUUAGUUCAACAUUUAUGCAUAUAACUUCAUACAUAUAGUAGUAACCUGAAGAUCAAAAUCUUAUUAAAUUAAGGAUUGCAGACGAAUACGAUGACUCAGUACUGAAUCUGCUACAGUCAGUUCCGCUUGGAAGAGUUCAACUCCAGAUCCC
rnacentral:lncRNA from 1 species